GAAAUAGCUCAGUUGGGAGAGCAUUAGACUAAUCAUAUAAAGUUCUCUGGUUCGAACUUGGGUUUAGGCA